GGUGAACGCUGGCGGCGUGCUUAAGACAUGCAAGUCGAACGCAGUCUUCGGACUGAGUGGCGCACGGGUGAGUAACACGUAACUGACCUACCCCCAAGUCGCGAAUAACCAGCCGAAAGGAUGGCUAAUACGUGAUGUGAUGAUCCGCUGUGGCGGAUCAUUAAAGACUUGAUCGCUUGGGGAUGGGGUUGCGUUCCAUCAGCUAGUUGGUAAGGUAAAGGCUUACCAAGGCAACGACGGAUAGCCGGCCUGAGAGGGUGGCCGGCCACAGGGGCACUGAGACACGGGUCCCACUCCUACGGGAGGCAGCAGUUAGGAAUCUUCCACAAUGGGCGCAAGCCUGAUGGAGCGACGCCGCGUGAGGGAUGGAGGUUCUCGGAUCGUAAACCUCUGAACCAACGGCGAAAGACCCGACAAGGGAGAUGACGGUAGUUGGGUAAUAGCACCGGCUAACUCCGUGCCAGCCGCCGCGGUAACAC
rnacentral:rRNA from 1 species